rnacentral:rRNA from 1 species
UACGGAGGGUGCAAGCGUUGUCCGGAUUUAUUGGGUUUAAAGGGUGCGUAGGUGGGUAGAUAAGUCUGGUUUGAAAGUUGGUCGCUUAACGAUCAAGGGUGGCUGGAUACUGUUUAUCUUGAAUGUUGUGGAGGUAGCCGGAAUGGGUUGUGUAGCGGUGAAAUGCAUAGAGAUGACCCGGAACACCAAUUGCGAAGGCAGGCUACUACGCAAUGAUUGACACUGAGGCACGAGAGCAUGGGGAGCAAACAGG